CUUUCUCUGCCCUUAGCACCAAGGGGUUCCAACUGAGGUCCAGACCACAUGGCUCUGAUUGCUUUACAAACAUAUAGUGUGGAAUUGAGACCCACCCCAAGAGAUGAAAGCCCAGAGCCUCCAGGAUAUUUAGCCUCCUAACCCCCAUCAGGGGGAGGUAGGAGAUGAAAUACAUUUGAGGAUCUGGGCGAAAGUGACUUGCCCAAGGUCCCAGAGGUGGCUUGUCGCGACGACAGGAACUGAACCCAGUUCUCCCGAGUCCCCUCCCAGCGUCUUAACCACAAAAUAGCUGAAUAGCUGGCUUCCAAAGAUGCUAACCCCCCCUCUCCCCGCAGUUCUCAUUGUCUUUUGAGCUGGGGGUGGUGUGGCGCUCCUCUGAAAAUCCAGCCUUGGAAGUAAAAAAACUUGAUGGGGGGAAGGUGAGUGUCGGGAUCUGUUUGUGCAACUAACAGUUCUGCUUGGCCCAAAAGCCCCUCUUGGAGGAGGUGGAAGCUCUAGGGAAGCUACAGCAAAGUAUCAAGCGUUUUGAAAUAUUUUACAUCACAGCCAGGAACUUCCUUUCUGCUGAGUAUUUCCCCUAAAUACUGAAUGUUUCUCUGGCUGUGACUCAGCCCGGCAGCUCUUCCUGGGAGAAGCUAAUGGAGCUGAGUGGCCCCCACUGAGGCUCUGCCACAGCUACUUCUCAUUUUGCUCUCCUGCUUGCAUCCAGAGAUGUGACAUGGUGAACACUGGGCACGUCGGCUCCUUGGACAGCUCUUGCUAUUUCACACCCGGAAAAAGGCUUGAUGACUGUGCACAUAAUUCACAUGAUGCAGCAGCUCUGGUAAUGAUGGGAGACAAGAGAGCCAUAGAAACUCCACCCAGGCACCAAUCCUGGCGCUGUUUUUUUUAUGAACCUUGCUUGUGAUUGUGGCCCAGUGAGUCCACCAGCCUGGCCCAGGCAGCAAUUAGAUCUUACAGUGUCAGACCUUGAUAAAUCCAUUCUGGUUGUUCCCAAAAGGCCUCACGCAGUACUGGCACUAUUUUCUCAAUAGCCAGCAGGUAGCUUUGAAAGCAUGGACGGUGGGCAAAGCAGGGUUUUCCGACUGAGAGAAUGUUACUCGGCAGAACUGUGCACAGGGAGAACCAGAGCUGCUGGCUUCAGACACUGCUUACUGCUCUCCACCCUGAGGCUCUGGUGGAAUGAGCUGGAGUCUCUUCAGACUCGUGCAUCAUCUGCAGAAUUGUUGGCCAAGUUCUAGUGGUAAGGCCACCUGUUCAACCCCACUCUAUUCAAAUGACACACACACAACUUCAUGGCAUAGCAGACCUCGGCCAGCAGAAGCCAGUCAUGGUGAUAAGACAUGAGCCAGACAGAAACCAGCUCAACUCUGCUGCAUGACAGCUGUAGUAUGGAAGAUGCAAAUCCCAGACAUGCAAAGUUAGUGAAAGAAAUCAGGAACCUGCUGUACAUUUCAGAAGUCGGGGGACUUUGAUUUGGAGCAGCAGUAAAAAAAAAAUUGAAUUUUGAAAGUC